rnacentral:siRNA from 1 species
AUCCAUGUCUGCACACUUCACCU